GGUGACUGGUCAUUUUAUUAUGGCCUGGCACAUCUGAGAUCAAGUCACUCAGCUUGUCAACAUGCUCCCAGCAGAAAAACUUCAGUUGAAACCCUUCCUCUGGGCUUUGAAAUCUGAACGGUGUCCAACUCUGACAGAAGAGUGUGAUGAGAACCUCUCUCUGUGAUGUUGCCGUCUGAACAAUGCCCAAGAAACAGAAGGUGGGACCCACUAGACUGACACCUUUCAAUACUGCUUUCCAGUGAAGAACCCUGAAAGCCAGGGACUGAGAUGGGCAGAAUGUGAGGGAACCCACCUCUUUGGCCUAGGCUACUCCACACAGUCUUGGAACAAGGAACUGCUGUCCAUGGUCCUGUGUAAAUGUGAAGAAGCAAUCAGUGCACUGGACCAUCACUAUUGGGAUGUGGAUUAAAUUCCUCCCUGGAAGACAUACUUGAAAUGCAUUCUUCGGGGCGUCAGCCUUUUCUUGGUGCAUUAGAUCCCUGCUUGGAGCCCUAGUGUGAAAUAUGUGUGGGGUCCAAGUUCCCUCCAGGGCUAGGCAGUGCUUGCUGCAGGAGGUUGUAGCUGAAGCCGGCUGACUUUUGUUCAGGGAGACGGCUCCUGUGUGGACAUUGCGUUCUAUGCAAAUACACUUUCAGAUUCAAGACAAACAAACUCAGAGGCUUCAUCUACACGCUGCAUGGAAAGCUGGCCAGAGGGCACGCCAUGUGUCUUUGGCCUCAAAAUGGAGAUGGAAGGGAAUAUGAACAGACGGGAAUGCUCCAUCUGCCAACCAUGAAACUGAAAACCAGGACCCAUGAGGACCUGCAUUUCUGAUUGGCCCUCCAUUAAUGCUCUCUGGG